rnacentral:lncRNA from 1 species
CCCGCCUCUGCGAGGCACGUGAGGCACUUACUGCCCACGUGGGGGCCACAUGAGGGGGAACACGGGGCUCCCCUGCCAGAUAUUGUCCGGUUCUGGGGCUUCACGCAAGCGUCCUUCACCCCUCCCCGGUUUUGUUUUCCAUCCAAAACGCGUCUGCAGGAUUUGGAGACACCCGCCUCAUAUGCCCAGGCUCUGGAACGAGUCUUUCCGAUGUGGGACUAUUGGGCCUCACAGAUUCGGAAGGAGGGGAGAGGGGUUUUGGAAACAGGGGAGGGAGCCAAUCGGGGUCUCCCUCCCCCUUUUUCUCAUGUGUUGGGCCGCCUUGUUUGGAGGCCGGCCCAAUUGACCCCCUUUUUCUCAUGUGUUGGGCCGCCUUGUUUGGAGGCCGGCCCAAUCACAUGCAGCCUUUACAGAAAGAUAUGAGCUUCUCCUUUUUUUUCUUUUGCUUCUUUUUGUUUCUGGUAUUGUUGAGGGAAGAGGAGGUCUAGAAGUCCACCUAAUUUAUUUCUCUAUUAAUAUUUCAAAUAAGUCUAACAGAGUCGCUUAUUAAUGAAGUCUGACAGUCUAAGACAAAAGAGGUAAGUAAACUUUAUACUCCUUGCUAGUUUUCGAACUUGUAAGUAAAUCUCGCACUCCUUAUUAUUUUUCAAAUUAUCAUAUAUUCUAUACAUAUGAUAUUGCCAAUAAAAAUGUCAUAUUUUCUUAAAAUUAUGGAUCAACAUAUAUAUUAUAAAAUCA